CACGGGGGGAGCAAGCGUUGUUCGGAAUCACUGGGCGUAAAGGGCGUGUAGGCGGUUCGGUAAGUGGAAUGUGAAAUGCUCCGGCUCACCCGGAGUACUGCAUCCCAAACUGCCGAGCUUGAGUAUGGGAGAGGAUGAGGGAAUUCCUGGUGUAGCGGUGAAAUGCGUAGAUAUCAGGAGGAACACCGGUGGCGAAGGCGCUCAUCUGGCCCAAUACUGAGCUGAGGCGCGAAAGCUAGGGGGAGCAAACGGG
rnacentral:rRNA from 1 species